rnacentral:rRNA from 1 species
GACGAACGCUGGCGGCGCGCCUAACACAUGCAAGUCGAACGAGAGAUGAGGAGCUUGCUCUUCAAAUCGAGUGGCGAACGGGUGAGUAACGCGUGAGGAACCUGCCUCAAAGAGGGGGACAACAGUUGGAAACGACUGCUAAUACCGCAUAAGCCCACGGCUCGGCAUCGAGCAGAGGGAAAAGGAGUGAUCCGCUUUGAGAUGGCCUCGCGUCCGAUUAGCUAGUUGGUGAGGUAACGGCCCACCAAGGCAACGAUCGGUAGCCGGACUGAGAGGUUGAACGGCCACAUUGGGACUGAGACACGGCCCAGACUCCUACGGGAGGCAGCAGUGGGGAAUAUUGCACAAUGGGGGAAACCCUGAUGCAGCACGGGGCCNCGUGGAGGAAGAAGGUCUUCGGAUUGUAAACUCCUGUUGUUGAGGAAGAUAAUGACGGUACUCAACAAGGAAGUGACGGCUAACUACGU